rnacentral:tRNA from 1 species
UUCCCUGUGGCUCAGUUGGUAGAGCAUGGUGUUUGCAACGCCAGCAUGGUGUGUGCAAUGCCAGGGUUGUGGGUUCGAUUCCCACAGGGGGAA